rnacentral:rRNA from 1 species
UACGUAGGGACCAAGCGUUGUUCGGAUUUACUGGGCGUAAAGGGCGCGUAGGCGGCAUGACAAGUCACUUGUGAAAUCUCCGGGCUUAACUCGGAACGGCCAAGUGAUACUGUCACGCUAGAGUGCAGAAGGGGCAAUCGGAAUUCUUGGUGUAGCGGUGAAAUGCGUAGAUAUCUGGAGGAACACCGGUGGCGAAGGCGGCAUCCUGGACCGGCAUUGACGCUGAGGCGCGAAAGCCAGGGGAGCAAACGGG